rnacentral:rRNA from 1 species
AGAUUGAACGCUGGCGGCAUGCCUAACACAUGCAAGUCGAACGGCAGCGCGGGUAGCAAUACCUGGCGGCGAGUGGCGGACGGGUGAGGAAUACAUCGGAAUCUACCCAGUCGUGGGGGAUAACGCAUCGAAAGGUGCGCUAAUACCGCAUACGACGGAGACGUGAAAGCGGAGGACCGUAAGGCUUCGCGCGAUUGGAUGAGCCGAUGUCGGAUUAGCUAGUCGGCGGGGUAAGAGCCCACCAAGGCGACGAUCCGUAGCUGGUCUGAGAGGAUGAUCAGCCACACUGGGACUGAGACACGGCCCAGACUCCUACGGAGCAGCAGUGGGGAAUA